rnacentral:rRNA from 1 species
UGUCGAGCGGGCGUAGCAAUACGUCAGCGGCAGACGGGAGAGUAACACGUGGGAACGCGCUUUCGGUUCGGAAUAACUCAGGGAAACUUGAGCUAAUACCGGAUACGCCCUAACGGGGAAAGAUUUAUUGCCGAAGGAACGGCCCGCGUCGGAUUAGCUAGUUGGUGAGGUAAUGGCUCACCAAGGCGACGAUCCGUAGCUGGUCUGAGAGGAUGACCAGCCUCACUGGGACUGAGACACGGCCCAGACUCCUACGGGAGGCAGCAGUGGGGAAUAUUGGACAAUGGGCGCAAGCCUGAUCCAGCCAUGCCGCGUGGAUGAUGAAGGCCUUAGGGUUGUAAAGUCCUUUUAACGGGGAAGAUAAUGACGGUACCCGUAGAAUAAGCCCCGGCUAACUUCGCGCCAGCAGCCGCGGUAAUACGAAGGGGGCUAGCGUUGCUCGGAAUUACUGGGCGUAAAGCGCACGUAGGCGGCUUGUUAAGUCAGGGGUGAAAGCCUGGAGCUCAACUCCAGAACUGCCUUUGAUACUGACGAGCUUGAGUUCGGGAGAGGUGAGUGGAACUGCGAGUGUAGAGGUGAAAUUCGUAGAUAUUCGCAAGAACACCAGUGGCGAAGGCGG